rnacentral:rRNA from 1 species
UGGGGGAUAUUGCACAAUGGGGGAAACCCUGAUGCAGCGACGCCGCGUGGAGGAAGAAGGUUUUCGGAUUGUAAACUCCUGUCGUUAGGGACGAUAAUGACGGUACCUAACAAGAAAGCACCGGCUAACUACGUGCCAGCAGCCGCGGUAAAACGUAGGGUGCAAGCGUUGUCCGGAAUUACUGGGUGUAAAGGGAGCGCAGGCGGACCGGCAAGUUGGAAGUGAAAACUAUGGGCUCAACCCAUAAAUUGCUUUCAAAACUGCUGGCCUUGAGUAGUGCAGAGGUAGGUGGAAUUCCCGGUGUAGCGGUGGAAUGCGUAGAUAUCGGGAGGAACACCAGUGGCGAAGGCGACCUACUGGGCACCAACUGACGCUGAGGCUCGAAAGCAUGGGUAGCAAACAGGAUUAGAUACCCUGGUAGUCCAUGCCGUAAACGAUGAUUACUAGGUGUUGGAGGAUUGACCCCUUCAGUGCCGCAGUUAACACAAUAAGUAAUCCACCUGGGGAGUACGACCGCAAGGUUGAAACUCAAAGGAAUUGACGGGGGCCCGCACAAGCAGUGGAGUAUGUGGUUUAAUUCGAAGCAACGCGAAGAACCUUACCAGGUCUUGACAUCCGAUGCAUAGCUUAGAGAUAAGUGAAGUCCUUCGGGACAUCGAGACAGGUGGUGCAUGGUUGUCGUCAGCUCGUGUCGUGAGAUGUUGGGUUAAGUCCCGCAACGAGCGCAACCCUUAUUGCCAGUUACUACGCAAGAGGACUCUGGCGAGACUGCCGUUGACAAAACGGAGGAAGGUGGGGAUGACGUCAAAUCAUCAUGCCCUUUAUGACCUGGGCUACACACGUAAUACAAUGGCGCACACAGAGGGAAGCAAAACCGCGAGGUGGAGCAAAUCCCUAAAAGGCGUCUCAGUUCGGAUUGCAGUCUGCAACUCGCCUGCAUGAAGUCGGAAUUGCUAGUAAUCGCGGAUCAGCAUGCCGCGGUGAAUACGUUCCC